UAAACGGGUUAUUGUGGCCCGGUGCUGUGUGUGGUACCUGGGGAUCGGCUCCAGAGGGGUUGGCAAACAGCAACUAAAGACUUAGUCUUGGCGAGGAGAAAUCCAGGGUAGCUCCCAUCUGAGUACGUCGCAAGCCAACGCGCCAAUCCGGAGAAUGGGGUGAAACUCCUCUGAAAUCCGGUGUUGCUUCAUUCCACACGAAGCACAAACAAACUGAAACACUUCAGAGGUUGUUGAUCUGAAGGCACAUUAAGUUUGA
rnacentral:ribozyme from 1 species